rnacentral:misc_RNA from 1 species
CAGGGUUCAUAUGUCCUUCCAUCUAAUUUUGAAGAGGUUGCAACUGGAGUGCUGAAGGUUUUGAACAAUUUGGCGCUUUUGGAUAUUUCAUUUAUGCAGAGAAUGCUAGCUAGGCCAGAUCUGAAAAUGGAAUUUUUCCAUUUGAUGAGUUUUCUUCUUUCUCAUUGCACGGGUAAAUUUAAAGUAUUUAGUGACCAGGUAAGUUUUUGUGUGCCAUUUUUUUUGAACAUCAUGCAUAUAGCCGUAUCAAUAGCUCAAAUGAUGUACGAAUAACUCUCAUAAAACAGAGUACGUCCAUGUGAAGAAUCUUCUUGCACAUAUGUUAAUGUAUAUAUAAAUGUAGUGAAUCCAUGAUUGAAUUAAAAAUGUAGGAAUCCUAAGAGCUUUCAACUUGUAAAUUAUAUAUAAGAUUAUGAUCUAAAUGUAAGCAAUUUUUACAUAUAGCAAAUGUGACUUUGAAACAAAUUAUUUUGGAGGUGGGUUAAUAUGGGAAGAGUGAUGAAUUUUAGUUGCAUUAUCAUACAACUGUGUAUGAAGUAUGUAUUUCUGGAACAUCUGCAUCAAGCUAUAACAUCUCCAAUUUAUAUCAGGUUGGGUUGCUUCUGCA